rnacentral:tRNA from 1 species
GGCCCCGUAGUUCAAGGGAUAGAACGAAAGUUUCCUAAACUUUAGAUUCGAGUUCGAGUCUCGGCGGGGCUA